GUGGGGAAUUUUGGACAAUGGGGGCAACCCUGAUCCAGCCAUGCCGCGUGCGGGAAGAAGGCCUUCGGGUUGUAAACCGCUUUUGUCAGGGAAGAAAUCCUUUGGGUUAAUACCUCGGAGGGAUGACGGUACCUGAAGAAUAAGCACCGGCUAACUACGUGCCAGCAGCCGCGGUAAUACGUAGGGUGCGAGCGUUAAUCGGAAUUACUGGGCGUAAAGCGUGCGCAGGCGGUUUUGUAAGAUCGAUGUGAAAUCCCCGGGCUCAACCUGGGAACUGAAUUGGUGACUGCAAGGCUGGAGUGCGGCAGAGGGGGAUGGAAUUCCGCGUGUAGCAGUGAAAUGCGUAGAUAUGCGGAGGAACACCGAUGGCGAAGGCAAUCCCCUGGGCCUGCACUGACGCUCAUGCACGAAAGCGUGGGGAGCAAACAGGAUUAGAAACCCCUGUAGUCC
rnacentral:rRNA from 1 species